rnacentral:rRNA from 1 species
GACGAACGCUGGCGGCGUGCCUAAUACAUGCAAGUCGAGCGGACUUUCAGGAGUGCUUGCACUCUGGAGGGUUAGCGGCGGAGGGGUGUGUAACACGUAGGCAAACUGCCCAUUAGACGGGGAUAACAUUAGGAAAAGUAUGCUAAUUCCGGCUUGCCGGACUUCUCGCAAAAGGGGAUCGGGAAAGGCGGUGCAAUCUGCAGCUAAUGGAUGGGCGUGUGGCGCAUUAGCUAGUUGGUGGGGUAACGGCCCACCAAGGCGACGAUGCGUAGCCGACCUGAGAGGGUGAUCGGCCACACUGGAACUGAGACACGGCCCAGACUCCUACGGGAGGCAGCAGUGGGGAAUAUUCCACAAUGGGCGCAAGCCUGAUGGAGCAACGCCGCGUGAGUGAAGAAGGCCUUCGGGUCGUAAAGCCCUGUUGCCAGGGAAGAACGGGCAGGGGAGUAACUGCCCUUGCCAUGACGGUACCUAAAGAGAAAGCCCCGGCUAACUACGUG